UAUUGAAAGGCAUUUAUAGAAGAUCAUAAUGAUCGCAAUGUUUGAGCUGUUUUUGUCCACACAAGAUAUACAUUGUAUGGACAAAAACACUUAUUCUUUUUGUGUUUCAGAAGAACUCAUAUAGAAAUCUGCUAUCAGUUGUUCAGCAGCUGUACCAGCGUGUGAUGAGGCUCCUACGCACCACUCUCUGACAUCACAACUGACUCAAACUAGAGGGAAGGUGAAACCACAAUGAAAAUCUACAGACUAAUGAAAUCAGCAUUACUGACAUAAAACUCAGCGUGAGACAAUCAUUAAAAGGGUGAAGCGUUCAUUGCGAAUGAUGCUGGUGUGUAUUUGUAGGAGCACAGUCCACAGUCCACAAAUCUUGCUUGCAUUACAACGUGAGAUGCCAUAUCAAAACUUACCUCAUGAUCUGAAUAAACAGAGCAAAUACACAGACAAAACAAAGACAGAGUCAAUAGGUAAUUCUUUAGUUGAACACAGAGACACUUAUAUAAACAAAGACUUUGAAUAUACUUAAAAGGGACUGUGAAAUAACUAGGGUAAGUGUACACUUUAAGCCCACUUUCAACUCUGAAGUCAAAUUAAAAGAAGAGAAAAUCAUAUUUUAUGCUGGCCAUUAUUUUAACUGAUUCAGUGAUUUGUUUAUUCCCUGCCAUCUGCCAAUGUUGAGUUAGCCCCACUCAUGUGCAUGCUGUCUCAAGGGACCUCACACAAAGACACCCAAAAACUUUGGAGUUUCAGGACCCUUCAGUAUAUCAACACAUUUCUGCAAUUUUAAGCCAUUUCUUUGUUAAGUAUAUUGAUAUUAUGUCAAAUAAUAGAUAAAUGUAUUGUUUUUUUGUGUAUGAACAAACAGUAUUUUAUCAUUUUUUUUAUCAUUUUCUUUUAAAUGGAAAUAUGAGCUUUUUUGACCUGUGCACAAAGCUAAUCUCAAGGUCAAACCAUUAGCCUCACUGAAUGAUAGACUGCCAAAGAAUUAAGCAUAUGAACUACAAACUCUAAAUGUUUUGUGAUUCAGUUUACAUACAUUUACAAAUAAAUACAUUAUAACUUGUUUUGUAGAGCAGAUUAUUUUCAUAAAUUAAUUUAUUAUAAUUACAUUUUUUUUUUACAUGGGCUUAAUUGGUACGGCGCCACAAAACUUAUGCAAACUAGAGACAACAGAAGCUAACCUUGAAUGAAAAAAAAAAUUCUUAAUGUGGUUACAAUGAAAAUUACUAUGAUGCUUAGUCCACAGUAUAUUUAAGCUCCAUGCAUGUCUUUGUAAACAUAUCUAAGGAAAACAUUGUCUUUUUCACCAUUAAUUAUAAACUUUGAUCAAUUUUCUCAGUGAAAGUGACAACAUUUCUUUGUGUUUUUUUUAUUAACCUUUUACCUAGCCUUAUGUUCUACUGUAAUUAACAACUAUAUUUAGAUAUUUAUAAAAAGAAAUUAUAUAAAUUAUACACUGUGUAGCACCAUUACAUUAUAGAUGUCUGCUAAUGUGUAUCGGUUGUUUUCAGUGAAAAAAUUAAAAAAAGAAAAAAAGAAAAAACCUCUCCAAAAAUUUGUAGAGGCAUGUCACCUUUACCAUGAGGGCACAGGGAAAAAAAGUUGUCUAGCAAAACAGUUUGGAGUGGACAAAGUCUUUGAGGAAGUGAGUGAAUCUCAAGAUCAGGGUUGAUGCUCAUCAGUGACAGGAAACCUUCCUCAGUUCAGCGGUAGAGAGCAAGAUUUUGAGUAGACUGUAAGGAAAAAGCUAAAUUAUAUUAUCUAGACUAAGUGUAAAAUGAAAGAAGGAAAAAUGUGAGGUUGUGAGGGGAUCUAAAAGUGGCUUAGACUAAUGUGUCUUUUUACAAUCUUUACACAUAAUGAAAUGUUCUGC